rnacentral:lncRNA from 1 species
AGAAGGAAAGGGUUGAACGAAGGAACAUGUACAAACCAAAAGGAACCAUGGAUCAACAAAGGCUAUGGUUGUUGCGCGGGAAGAAACCUCACAUAAGGACUCUGAAUAUGAAGCUGGAGAUGAAUAGGCACUUAUGGCCAUCGGAGAAUCAAAUGAUGAACAAGAUUUCUAAGUUAAGGGAAGUAGCCAAAUAUGGUACGUGGAUAGUGUCU